rnacentral:rRNA from 1 species
AUAGAUACCCGGGUAGUCCACGCCGUAAACGAUGAGUGCUAAGUGUUAGAGGGUUUCCGCCCUUUAGUGCUGCAGCUAACGCAUUAAGCACUCCGCCUGGGGAGUACGGUCGCAAGACUGAAACUCAAAGGAAUUGACGGGGGCCCGCACAAGCGGUGGAGCAUGUGGUUUAAUUCGAAGCAACGCGAAGAACCUUACCAGGUCUUGACAUCCUCUGACAACUCUAGAGAUAGAGCGUUCCCCUUCGGGGGACAGAGUGACAGGUGGUGCAUGGUUGUCGUCAGCUCGUGUCGUGAGAUGUUGGGUUAAGUCCCGCAACGAGCGCAACCCUUGAUCUUAGUUGCCAGCAUUCAGUUGGGCACUCUAAGGUGACUGCCGGUGACAAACCGGAGGAAGGUGGGGAUGACGUCAAAUCAUCAUGCCCCUUAUGACCUGGGCUACACACGUGCUACAAUGGAUGGUACAAAGGGCUGCAAGACCGCGAGGUCAAGCCAAUCCCAUAAAACCAUUCUCAGUUCGGAUUGUAGG